GACGAACGCUGGCGGCGUGCUUAACACAUGCAAGUCGAACGGUGAAGCGCCUUCCUUUUUGGUGGGUGUGGAUGAGUGGCGAACGGGUGAGUAACACGUGAGUAACCUGCCCCCUUCUUCUGGAUAACCGCAUGAAAGUGUGGCUAAUACGGGAUAUUCUGGGUCUGUCGCAUGAUGGGUCUGGGAAAGAUAUUGUUUCGGUGGGGGAUGGGCUCGCGGCCUAUCAGCUUGUUGGUGGGGUGAUGGCCUACCAAGGCGGUGACGGGUAGCCGGCCUGAGAGGGUGGACGGUCACACUGGGACUGAGACACGGCCCAGACUCCUACGGGAGGCAGCAGUGGGGAAUAGUGCACAAUGGGCGCAAGCCUGAUGCAGCGACGCCGCGUGAGGGAUGGAGGCCUUCGGGUUGUGAACCUCUUUCGCCAGUGAAGCAGGCCUGCCUCGUUUGUGGGUGGGUUGACGGUAGCUGGAUAAGAAGCGCCGGCUAACUACGAG
rnacentral:rRNA from 1 species